rnacentral:rRNA from 1 species
AUUGAACGCUGGCGGCAUGCUUUACACAUGCAAGUCGAACGGUAACAGGCCGCAAGGUGCUGACGAGUGGCGAGCGGGUGAGUAAUGCAUCGGAACGUGCCCAGUCGUGGGGGAUAACUACUCGAAAGAGUAGCUAAUACCGCAUACGAUCUAUGGAUGAAAGCGGGGGACCGUAAGGCCUCGCGCGAUUGGAGCGGCCGAUGUCGGAUUAGGUAGUUGGUGGGGUAAAGGCUCACCAAACCAACGAUCUGUAGCUGGUCUGAGAGGACAACCAGCCACACUGGGACUGAGACACGGCCCAGACUCCUACGGGAGGCAGCAGUGGGGAAUUUUGGACAAUGGGCGCAAGCCUGAUCCAGCAAUGCCGCGUGCAGGAAGAAGGCCUUCGGGUUGUAAACUGCUUUUGUACGGAACGAAACGGCUCUGGUUAAUACCCGGGGCUAAUGACGGUACCGUAAGAAUAAGCACCGGCUAACUACGUG